GGGCCCGUAGCUCAGCCCGGAUGGAGAGGUACAUCACCCUAGAAUGACGGCCUUCUAAGCCGUGGGUCGCGGGUUCAAAUCCCGCCGGGCCCG
rnacentral:tRNA from 1 species